CUUCCACAGGCCGAUGCUGGAGUGAAAACUUUGUGCUUAGAAAACGGUCGGUCUUUAUAAUUAGGUCAUUAGUGCAAUAACGACUAAGACAAGACGGAAUAUUAUUUUUAUUAUGCUGUGAAACCAGUUCCAUCUUCAGCACUGUAACACUGAUUGCCGGGGCCUGAGGGGUGACGGCAUGGCGGAGGGCAAUGAAAGCGCAGGCGGGGAGUGGAAAGAGAAAUGCAUGGCCCUCGAGGCCCUGCUCUUCAAGUUCCGUGGACAGAUGAGCGUUAUCCGAGAGCUCACGGCAGAAAAGAUGCAGCAGCUGGAGACGCAGGUACUGGAAGCAGAGCGGCGAGCAUAUGAGGCCAGCCAGCCG
rnacentral:lncRNA from 1 species